rnacentral:piRNA from 1 species
UGGUCAUAGCCUCCUACUGUGUCUAGUGUC